rnacentral:rRNA from 2 species
UACGGGAGGCAGCAGUAGGGAAUCUUCCACAAUGGGCGCAAGCCUGAUGGAGCAACACCGCGUGAGUGAAGAAGGGUUUCGGCUCGUAAAGCUCUGUUGUUGGAGAAGAACGUGCGUGAGAGUAACUGUUCACGCAGUGACGGUAUCCAACCAGAAAGUCACGGCUAACUACGUGCCAGCAGCCGCGGUAAU